rnacentral:rRNA from 1 species
UACGAAGGGGGCUAGCGUUGCUCGGAUUGACUGGGCGUAAAGGGCGCGUAGGCGGUUCGUACAGUCAGACGUGAAAUUCCUGGGCUCAACCUGGGGGCUGCGUUUGAUACGUGCGGACUUGAGUGCGGAAGAGGGUCGUGGAAUUCCCAGUGUAGAGGUGAAAUUCGUAGAUAUUGGGAAGAACACCGGUGGCGAAGGCGGCGACCUGGCCCGAUACUGACGCUGAGGUGCGAAAGCGUGGGGAGCGAACAGG